ACAGUGGACGCGAGCAUCUUUGUUGUAAGUGUUUAAGAGCGUACGGUGGAUGCCUUGGCACCAGGAGCCGAUGAAGGACGUAGGAGGCUGCGAUAAGCCUCGGGGAGCUGUCAACCGAGCUGAGAUCCGAGGAUGUCCGAAUGGGGAAACCCAGCCACAGUGAUGUGUGGUUACCCGCGCCUGAAUAUAUAGGGCGUGUGGAGGGAACGUGGGGAAGUGAAACAUCUCAGUACCCACAGGAAGAGAAAACAACAUGUGAUUCCGUGAGUAGUGGCGAGCGAAAGCGGAAGAGGCUAAACCAUGGGUGUGUGAUAGCCGGCGGGCGUUGCAUUCGUGGGGUUGUGGGAUCCGUCUUGUCAAUUCUGCCGGAUUGGCCGACAGUGAGAAAUCAUCGUGUUAGUCGAAGUGGUCUGGAACGGCCUGUCGUAGAGGGUGAGAGUCCCGUAGACGAAAACAUGGUGACUGUCGUGACGGACACCCGAGUAGCAGCGGGCCCGUGAAAUCUGCUGUGAAUCUGUCGGGACCACCCGAUAAGCCUGAAUACUCCCUGGUGACCGAUAGCGGACUAGUACCGUGAGGGAAAGGUGAAAAGUACCCGGGAGGGGAGUGAAAUAGUACCUGAAACCGUGCGCUUACAAUCCGUCAGAGCCUGCGCCACUUCGGUGGGGG
rnacentral:rRNA from 1 species